CAGUAACCUAUCGCACUGCAAAUUACUUCACCCUAAGUGAGACCUGACAGCAUUACCUGCUUUUUCUGCCAACCUCCUCUUUGCUCUUCUGUGUGGCACUUUGUGUAAUGCAGUGGCGUACUAAGGGGGGGGCGUUCCGCCCCGGGUGCCAUCAGGUAGGGGGGUGCCACCAGGGCUGGCCAGGCUUGGAAUUCAGUGAGCUGUGUGGCUGCACUGGGUGCCAUAGCAGCAGGGGCGCCAGGCAGCCAACACAGCUCACACAAGCAGGGGCUAGGACUGGGAGCAAGCAGGAGACCUGCACAGAGAUUUGGGGGCGGGGACAGAUCGGCAGUGGGGGAGAGCCAAGCCGGAUGUGAGGGCGGAGCUAAAUGCAGCCUCAUACUGCUG